rnacentral:rRNA from 1 species
AUUGAACGCUGGCGGCAUGCCUUACACAUGCAAGUCGAACGGCAGCACGGGAGCAAUCCUGGUGGCGAGUGGCGAACGGGUGAGUAAUAUAUCGGAACGUGCCCAGUCGUGGGGGAUAACGCAGCGAAAGCUGUGCUAAUACCGCAUACGAUCUAUGGAUGAAAGCGGGGGAUCGCAAGACCUCGCGCGAUUGGAGCGGCCGAUAUCAGAUUAGCUAGUUGGUGAGGUAAAGGCCCACCAAGGCGACGAUCUGUAGCUGGUCUGAGAGGACGACCAGCCACACUGGAACUGAGACACGGUCCAGACUCCUACGGGAGGCAGCAGUGGGGAAUUUUGGACAAUGGGGGCAACCCUGAUCCAGCCAUGCCGCGUGAGUGAAGAAGGCCUCGGUUGUAAGCGUCUUCGGUCCGGGAAGGAAAGUACGCAUGGGUUAAUACCCUGUGUGGAUGACGGUACCGGCGAUAAGAAGCACCGG